rnacentral:rRNA from 1 species
GUGAUGCGCAGCUACCAUGCAGUCGUACGAGAAGGUUCCUUCGGGAACUGGAGAGUGGCGCACGGGUGAGUAACGCGUGGGGACCUACCUCUUAGUGGGGGAUAACGGUUGGAAACGACCGCUAAUACCGCAUACGCCCUUCGGGGGAAAGAUUUAUCGCUAAGAGAUGGACCCGCGUUGGAUUAGAUAGUUGGUGAGGUAACGGCUCACCAAGUCAGCGAUCCAUAGCUGGUUUGAGAGGAUGAUCAGCCACACUGGGACUGAGACACGGCCCAGACUCCUACGGGAGGCAGCAGUGGGGAAUAUUGGACAAUGGGCGCAAGCCUGAUCCAGCCAUGCCGCGUGAGUGAAGAAGGCCUUCGGGUUGUAAAGCUCUUUCAGAUGCGAAGAUGAUGACGGUAACAUCAGAAGAAGCCCCGGCUAAUUUCGUGCCAGCAGCCGCGGUAAUACGAAAGGGGCAAGCGUUGUUCGGAUUUACUGGGCGUAAAGGGCACGCAGGCGGUCCUGCCCAG